UACGUAGGGGGCAAGCGUUGUCCGGAUUUAUUGGGCGUAAAGAGCUCGUAGGCGGUUUGGUAAGUCUGGUGUGAAAUCUCCACGCUCAACGUGGAGGGGCCACCCGAUACUGCCAUGACUGGAGUCCGGUAGAGGAGUGUGGAAUUCCCGGUGUAGCGGUGAAAUGCGCAGAUAUCGGGAGGAACACCAGUGGCGAAGGCGGCUCGCUGGGCCGGACCUGACGCUGAGACGCGAAGGCGUGGGGAGCGAACGGG
rnacentral:rRNA from 1 species